GGUGUCGUACCAUGCCAACUCAUCCAUCCCGUUCAGUAACACGCGACACUGAAGGCUGGUCUUUAGGAGUGCUGUCAGCGCUUUGAUGGAAUCAUUGUGAGCCGCGUGGUCGUAUGCGUAGAGGAUUUGAAUCGUAAAGCCAAUCAGGAAGUCUUCCGGUUCUGCGCAGUAUAUACAAGAAUACGACCAAUAUGGCCGCCAUGGCAAAUAGCGUUACCACGACGACAGCGAUAGUGGCAGCAGAUGUCCCUUCGCUCUCGGUGACUUAUGAUAGAACGAAAAGUGAUUGACGGAAAAGCCUUCACAUCCGACACUGCAAAUGCACAUGUGUACCGCACUUCAAGUUGAACCUUAAAGAAGCGAAUGUGUCAGAAAUAAGCAGUAAUUUUAUCAACUGUGGAUCGCACGAAGUCAGCUGAACAGGAUGUUUAAACAUCAGCCGAGGAGAACGGAAGGGGCAAUAUCAUGCUGGUGAAAGUUGGGUUUCGGUGGGUCACCUGUGUUCGAGACCACGGAGAUCUCACUCGUGUAGCGCAGACAUGGCACGCAGUUAGUCUCGUUUCCAAGGUAACACAAACACGGACCCUUCGUGCCGAAGGCACUGGUGUCUUCCGGGAUGAACUGAAAAUGUGGAUACGUUAAAGUAAUGUUGUAGUAUCGGUUCUUCGGCACAUGAGUUUGAGCUCCACAAUGUAUUGUUACUGUUACAGUAUACCGAUUACAUGUAUAUGAAAUUAAAUGGAUUUCAUCUA